CGAUGGCGACCGGCGCACGGGUGAGUAACACGUAUCCAACCUGCCGAUAACUCGGGGAUAGCCUUUCGAAAGAAAGAUUAAUACCCGAUGGCAUAAUAGAACCGCAUGGUUUGAUUAUUAAAGAAUUUCGGUUAUCGAUGGGGAUGCGUUCCAUUAGGCAGUUGGUGGGGUAACGGCCCACCAAACCUUCGAUGGAUAGGGGUUCUGAGAGGAAGGUCCCCCACAUUGGAACUGAGACACGGUCCAA
rnacentral:rRNA from 1 species